GCUGUUCGAGCACUUGUUGUGGAUGCUGUGAUUUUGGGCCUCUGUGCACAGUUCACUACGAACUGGAUAUCGGGUUGGAGCUCGUGACGUCGAGAGGCCGAACUGGCGGUGGUUGAUUUUUUUUUUGGUUUGCCUAAGGUGGUGUUCUCAGUGUUGCAGAAAGAGCAAAGAGAACAGACAAGAGGGAAAGCAGAGAGGUGACUUCAGUGUGGGUCAUCGUCUGCCUCUGAGUUAUCUUCUGUUUGUUCCUCGCCUUCUCAAGACUAGAACGUGCAGGAAGCUUUAUCAAAAGCUACAAACCACCAAAUUCAAAAGAAAGAUAAGUUUUUAUUCCGUUUGGCAUCUACCAUCACUCUAUUAUCAAUUCUAUCAUUAUUCUGUCUACCAUCUGCCAAAAGAAAAAUAAAAUAAAGUAAAAUAAAAAAAGUUUUACUUUUCCUUUUCAGCAGACAUCAUUAUGUUUUCUCAAUAUAAUUAUUUUUUUUGAUAUCACAUGAUUACUAUCAAGUUAUUAAUUUAUACAACAUGUGAUUUAUCAAACAACUGAAUAAAUCAUUUAUUCAUGAUUAUAUAUAUACACACACAUUUAGGCAAUACCUAAUAUAUUGUUGAUUUAUGCAGCAUGUGAUUUAUCAAACAACUGAAUAAAUCAUUUAUUCAUGAUUAUAUAUAUGCACACACAUUUAGGCAAUACCUAAUAUAUUGUUGAUUUAUGCAACAUGUCAUUUAUCACACAACAAAAUAAAUCAUUUAUUCACAAAAGGCACAUAAUACAAUAUUUUGCCUUGACAAACUUUGUCAAUUUGAUUUAUUCAUUAUACGAUCGUACUUAUACUGUCAUUUAUUGUCAGGAAUUAUUGAGCAACUAGAUCCACUGAUCAACAUUGUUGCUGAUUAAAGAAGUCUACCAACUUAUAGACUGAUAAGCCACAUG
rnacentral:lncRNA from 1 species